AUUGAACGCUGGCGGCAGGCCUAACACAUGCAAGUCGAGCGAGCGGCGGACGGGUGUGUAUAGUCUGGGAAACUGCCUGCUGGGGGGGGAUAACACCUGGAAACGGUAGCUCAUAUCGCAUAUCCCCUGAUGUGCCCCGAUGGGAUUAGCUGGGGGGUGGGGUAACGGCUCACCUAGGCGACGAUCCCUAGCUGGUCUGAGAGGAUGACCAGCCACACUGGAACUGAGACACGGUCCAGACUCCUACGGGAGGCAGCAGUGGGGAAUAUUGCACAAUGGGCGCAAGCCUGAUGCAGCCAUGCCGCGUGUGUGAAGAAGGCCUUCGGGUUGUAAAGCACUUUCAGCGGGGAGGCGUUACCCGCAGAAGAAGCACCGGCUAACUCCGUGCCAGCAGCCGCGGUAAUAC
rnacentral:rRNA from 1 species